UACGGGGGGGGCAAGCGUUGUUCGGAAUUACUGGGCGGAAAGGGCUCGUAGGCGGCCAACUAAGUCAGACGUGAAAUCCCUCGGCUUAACCGGGGAACUGCGUCUGAUACUGGAUGGCUUGAGUUCGGGAGAGGGAUGCGGAAUUCCAGGUGUAGCGGUGAAAUGCGUAGAUAUCUGGAGGAAUACCGGUGGCGAAGGCGGCAUCCUGGACCGGCAUUGACGCUGAUGAGCGAAAGCUAGGGGAGCAAACGGG
rnacentral:rRNA from 1 species